ensembl:lncRNA
CUUUCCUCCACCCUGAAGACACAGCUGUGAUCAGCAGAUCUGUCCAGCAGGGAAGGUGAAAUACAGAAGAGGAUGUUGAUCUACUGGCGUAAAGGAUGAUUUUCCCACUGUUCUGGGAGAACUUUAGAUUUCAUUCACUUCUUUCCUUUUUAACCAAAAGUAAGGGGAGAAAAACAAUGAGAAAGAAAAUUAAAGCCAAUGUGGGGAAUAAUGACAACACAUAACAACUGGAAAUCUGGCCCAAUACACAACUGAAUGAACAGAGUCUGGUAAAAUUUGUCCCAGGCUUCAAAACUGCUUUUUCUUGGUUGUUAGUAGGAAGUACUCCUUUAUUCCUACUGACAUCAUUUUAGAAAAGAAAACAAUGCAAAGUAUUUGCAAAUUAUGCAAGUUUAUGAACUGUUUUUUGUAAUUAUAAGCUACAACUGAUAAAAUGGAGUACAGGUCUGCUGUCCAUAAGGAUCUCUACAGGGUGGGAACAUCAGGUGGGAAGUUCAGCAAAGACAAAUGCCAAGUCCUGCAACUGCGUUUGAGAACAUGCUAGUAGCUAACAGGGAAAUCCAGCUGUCCCAGUGGAUAUCAAACUGAACGUAAAGCACUGUGACCAAAGAUGAAGACCAACUGCAUCGUGAGCUGUAUGUGCAGUAUCACAGUCAGAAGAUCAAAGAAAGUGGUUAAACUCCUUGCCAAUCACACGUGAGGCCACUUCUAGAGCACUGUCCCUAGCCUGGGCUCCCUACUACAGGAGGUGCAGACAUGCUUAAGAGUCCAGAGGAAUGUAAGUGAGGGGAGCUGGAGCAUAUUGCAUAAUAUAUGAAAUUAAAGGAGUUGGACUUAGCCUGAAGAAAGAAUAUGAAAUGGGAAAUUAACUACUAUCUUUCACCAUAUGAAGAAGGGCUGCAGAAGACAUGACAUCAGACUCUUCUCAGAUGUGCACUACUAAGAAAAAAAAGGCAACAGGCACAAGUUGACACAAAAAUUUGGAUUCAAUGUAAGGAAAAAAAUUUCACAAUGAUGAACACCAAAUCCUGGAACAUCUUGCCUAAAGAUUUUAUGUGAUCAAUAUCCUUGAAGGUUUUCAAAAUUAGUCCAGACAACUGGCUCUGAGCAACUUGAUCCAGAUCUGAAGCCAGAAUUGUUUUAAGUAGUGCUUAGAUUAGAGAUCUCUAGAUCUUCCUUCAAAACAAUUUAAGGUUUAUGUAAGGUUUAAAAUAUUGCUCACUUCCAUAGAAAAUUUUGAAAAAUAAGAGACAUUACCGUAAGUUUUAUAAUGAUCUAGCCUGUGCAGGGACAAUGCAAGGGGCCAUUGUGUUUAUGAAUGGAUACUGGUCAACAAGUAAAGACAAACUCAUUGCAGGGAUUCUUCCUUAGCUUUUCAAACAUUUUGCACCUCUACUUCAGGAUCAUCUGACAAGCACAGAGCUAUCUGAGUAACAGCAACAAUCCUAUUUGGGAGGAGCAAAGAAAAACUCAAGCUACUUACCUCAGAAGUUCUUUAAAAUAACAUUUAAAAGAUUUUCUGGAGAGAAAUUUCAGCAUACAGUAAAGUCUGUGCUGUAGUUUCUAUUCCUUGUUUCAUUUAUCUUAUGCUGAUGCGGAACAUGAAAUGGUAGACAAUCUAGGUCUCUCUUUAGCUUUCUGUAACCUGUCCCAGGACUUGGUUACCUGGGUGCCAAUAAUGGAAAGCCACUAACAUGGCCCAGCUGUAUAACUUUGGCUUUGACUGUGGAGGAAAUUGCUGAGUUUUGAAAAAGAACAGUGAAAAGUGUGUAGAACAGAAGAGGAUGAUAAAAUUGAAGACAGAGGUAACAUGGUUGAGACAGUAUCUCUAAUUGCUCCAGAAUUCAGGAAGGAAAGCACUGACACGGAAGUGGAUAAAAUUCUAAAAGAAACAAAAUAAUGGAGAUGUUAGAGGAUUACAACUCAGGAUCAUCUUCUAUACCGUGCAGUAAAAUAGUUCAAUCAUUCUCCUUCCAACUAAUGUCUGCCCAGCCUGCAACCACUCUUUCAAUAUCUUGUUGGUGGGGGAAGUAUAAGUAAGUUAUGUAGCGUAUUAAAUAUAGACUAUAUUUCGUAUGCAUUGGUCAAGACGUAAUUUUCUUAUCCUUUAAAACUGUGUACAACCUGCUUGCAGGGUCUCUGUAAAUGACUAAAGCAGCCAGUACAAAUGGCCCAAAAAAGCACUGUAACAGGAGUAUAGAUUUGAGAUUUGCAGCAAUACUUCGUUUUGAAUUUUAGGGUUAGAAUAAAGAACAUUUUCAUCUAUCAUAUCUAUCAUCUUAUUAAUUAACUUGAAUUGAUGCAAAAGCAUGCAAGUUUUGCAAAGAGGAAAGCCCUUAGGAGAAGUCAUGCUAUUGUCACUGUUUUCCAUGUGGUUACUACGCCUGGGCAUUCAGUAAUUAAUGUCAUUCGUAAACAGACAAUUGAGACUAGCAUUUCUCAAGGGUUUUCAGUGUAGAACUACUUUUUACAAACUUUGAGCACUGAACCAUGAAACCAAGAGUAGCAUCAUGGUUUUAGGCACUGUACACAUAGUUGAUUGCAGUUUUUAAAUUACUACUUUUAAACAAAAAUGCCUGCUUUCAGUUUGUAGUAGCAGAACGCCUAUAACUUGAAAAUAUUUACAAAAAAAAAGAAGUAUCAACAAUGUCAUUUCGAUCACCAGAGUCUGAACAAUCCACUAGUACCUACAGCACCCAAUCAGUGGUCACUAGUCUGUGCACCAAGCGGAUCGUUUAGAUCUCCAGGAGAAAAUACUUUCCAUAUUUAUCUGAAAGUUCCCAUUAUGCUAGAAAUCCCUGACAGGCACUUGUUCUUUAUCAAGGUAGCAACAUUUCUUGCUUGUUAGCUUUUACUCUAUCUUAUUUAGCUUUCCAGACGUUUAGCUUCCAUAUCCAUUAGAGCUGUUGCUGUUAAGUAACUAGGCACAGUUUUCUUGAGAUAAGGUUCAUAAAAUUUGGACAGGUUAAACAGGAUGCUCUGCCUUGUUAAGUUCUCCUGGCAAUACCUCCCAUCUUCGGUGUGCCCCCAGAUGGCCAAAAUGAUGGAGAUUUCACAAAGACUGGCCUGAGGUUACUUACAGUUAGCACUUUGGCUGACCAAGCAUCUGGAACACUCACUCAUUCAGUGACAGUUUGCAUGACAGCAGACAAUGGCCAUGAAAUUAUCUCAGGCUCAGCAAGACCUAAAAAGCACAGCAUUACUUUGGUUCUAAAUAUCCUCAAAGAGGUUACACUUCCACAUCCAUCAACAACAGUGGUUGGCAUAUCUGCCAUACACCUAAUAUUUACUCCCUUUCCUGCAGCAGUUCUUGCUGUCCCUGGGGGAGUUCUAAGUUGAAAUCCAAAUUCCUCUGAAGCUGUCAAGCUGGCUUCUUGUCUUUGGUAUGUAGAGCCAGGAAUUAUUAUUGCUCUGAAAGAUGCAAGGGGAAGAAACAGAGCAAUUAAGGGAACUUGUAAAACCUUGUCAAGUUACAAGAGGUCUCUUUAUUUUUCUAUUGAUUGUGUCUCUCUCUUUCAGGAAUAAUGAAUGUCCCACGAAAUACCUGAAGUUCCCCCUGUCACUCUGUGCCUUAACCUUUGUGAUGCUAAAGACUCAGAUUUGCAACCCUACCGUUCAUCUUUCACUUACGGCUCUGUAAUCUUUUGCCUAAAUUUCUGUGAGGUUUUGUGUUUUUUUCCUUCCAUGUCAUUCUCCUACUGUCAUCCUUGUAAUUUUCAUGCCUUUACACCUCUAACGGUGUCACUUUAGGUUUCUCAUAGUAAGUGAUUGCCCUGGCAUGACAAUUACCCCUCCUUCCCUGCUUUUUCCUAUGCAUUGUUGUUUGUAAUUCAGCUUAUACUAGAGGCAAACAAGACUUAAGAAAUAACAUCUUGUGUAAUAGUUAUUUAUAUAUAUAAUAAGUAUUACUCCCCAAUACAUGUGCAUGGUGCUCAACCAAUAAUUCCUCAUCUGUGAAGAUGUCCCAGAAACUAGCUGUAAGUCAUUGAUCGCAUUAUAGGCCUCUAAACAAAAAACUGCUUGAAAUUUAUUUGACAUACGUUGCUAGCAUUUUUAAUUUAAAAUUUAAUUUUUAAACUACUGAAAAGCACUGGUGUUAUACCACAAGCUCAUUCCACAUUAAACAUCACUGCAGUGCUAGGGUACCAAUCUCAGCAUCAUUAGCAACAUAUUCUCUACGCUAAAAGUAUUAUUUCAUUUUUAUAUCUUUAGGUUUAUAAAUAUUGACCACUUUUAGAGCAUCUGAAGUUAUUUCUGCAGAUUUUAUCGUGAGCAGCACCUUGCUGUUACCUUGUGGGCUGACAGUGGGGACUCAGGUGAUGGAGGUGCUGCAGUUCACUCGCUCAUCUUCACUCCUGUGCUGUAGGAAAUCGUUGCACACAAAGCCUCUGCUUUCCCAGGAUGGCAUAGUUCAGUCAUCAACCUGGAGUUCUUAGUCCUACUGUAUAUUUGGUGAGUACAGAUCACCAGGAGAAAAAAAAAAUAAAACCUGCUGAGGACAUUUUGUCACAGCAUAUAAAUCAAAAAGCAAGUUGGAUGAAAAAGCUAAUCUAAUUACUUAUAGUCCUUAAAAUGUUCCAGACCAGAUGUUGAAAAAUGUCACAUUGACCAGCUCAGCACUGCAGGGUACUAAGCUUUUCCUCGGGGCUACUGGAGCUUGAGUCAGAUGCAUUUAAAGGAUGCCCACGGUUUGUAAAUUCAAAGGUGCAGAAACAGGCACAAACAGAAGUGAAUCUCACUGGAAGGCAUGGAAUUAAGUGGAGAUCUAAAAGCUCAGCUACUCUUUCCCUAGGUCAGAUCAGUCCAGAUGGUUUAAUUCCUGACCAGUAUCUAUGCAACGCCAUGGAUGAAGCUUUGAUAUAUCAGUAAUUUCUGAAUAUUUUCUAUAAUUUGGAAAAGAAUGACUAAAUUCCACUUCAGUAGAUUCAACAAAACAAGGGUAAAAGAAAAAGAAAAUCUGAGCAUAUGUAGAUUAUUUCUUUUCACAUUUGGAAUGGAAGGUAUCAAAAAUAGAUUAAGAUGCUUGGCUGGAAGCACUUUAUGUGACCUCAAGCCAUAGCCUGAUGCCAAACAAGAGUUUUAAAAAUCCAAUUAAAAUAAAAUAUUAAAUAUAUAAAUAAAAGUUGUAAAUAAUUCCUCACUGUCAGAUAAAAAUACAUACACAUAUACAUACACAGAAUGCACUUUUGACUUACAUUGAAGUACAUGUCAAUGGUUGAACUGAAGUUGUUAUUUUUCUGUGCAGCUUGGGAGAGAAUGUGUCUAAAUGUCAUUUAAAGUAUUAAAUAAAGAAAGAAAUUGUAACUUUUAUUUAGUCUCACCCUUUUCUUUAUUUGUUACUCAUCCACUAGAAUAAAAAUCUAUUAGUCAU